rnacentral:rRNA from 1 species
AUUGAACGCUGGCGGCAGGCUUAACACAUGCAAGUCGAGCGAGCGGCGGACGGGUGAGUAAUGUCUGGGAAACUGCCUGAUGGAGGGGGAUAACUACUGGAAACGGUAGCUAAUACCGCAUACCAUCAGAUGUGCCCAGAUGGGAUUAGCGAGUAGGUGGGGUAAUGGCGCACCUAGGCGACGAACCCUAGGUGGUCGGGGAGGAUGACCAGCCAAACUGGAACGGAGACACGGUCCAGAGUCCUACGGGAGGCAGCAGUGGGGAAUAUUGAACAAGGGGCGCAAGCCUGAUGCAGCCAGGCCGCGUGUGUGAAGAAGGCCUUCGGGUUGUAAAGCACUUUCAGCGAGGAGGCGUUACUCGCAGAAGAAGCACCGGCUAACUCCGUGCCAGCCGCCGCGGUAAUAC